rnacentral:rRNA from 1 species
GGCUCAUUAAAUCACACCUAAUCUACUGGAUAGUUAACAGUUACUUGGAUAACUGCGGUAAUUCUGGAGCUAAUACAUGCACAAAGCCCCGAACUUACGUGAGGGGCGCUUUUAUUAGAUCAAAACCAAACGGCUUCGGCUGUACUCUUGGUGACUCUGAAUAACUUUGGGCUGAUCGUACGGCCUAGCGCCGACGACAUAUCCUUCGAAGGUGUGCCCUAUCAACUGUCGACUGUGGCAUAGACGCCCACAGUGGUUUUGACGGGUAACGGGGAAUCAGGGUUCGAUUCCGGAGAGGGAGCCUUAAAAACGGCUACCACAUCUAAGGAAGGCAGCAGGCACGCAAAUUACCCAAUGACCGAAGGUCGAGGUAGUGACAAAAAAUAACGAUACGGGACUCAUCUGAGGCCCCGUAAUCGGAAUGAGUACACUUUAAAACCGUCCCCGAGGAUCUAUU